GGGGGGGGGGGGGGGGGGGGGGGGGGGGGGGGGGGCGGGCGGAGGGGCCCGGCGGUGGUGGGGGGCGCGGGGGGCGAACGGGGGAGUAACCCGUGGGGAACCUGCCCUUGACUUUGGGGUAACUUCAGGGAGCUGGGGCUAAUACCGGGUCGGAGCUCCUGCUGCAUGGUGGGGGUUUGAAAGUUUCGGCGGUUGGGGAUGGACUCGCGGCUUAUCAGCUUGUUGGUGGGGUAGUGGCUUACCAAGGCUUUGACGGGUAGCCGGCCUGAGAGGGUGACCGGCCACAUUGGGACUGAGAUACGGCCCAGACUCCUACGGGAGGCAGCAGUGGGGAAUAUUGCACAAUGGGCGGAAGCCUGAUGCAGCAACGCCGCGUGCGGGAUGACGGCCUUCGGGUUGUAAACCGCUUUCGCCUGUGACGAAGCGUGAGUGACGGUAAUGGGUAAAGAAGCACCGGCUAACUACGUG
rnacentral:rRNA from 1 species